rnacentral:rRNA from 1 species
GACGAACGCUUGCGGCGUGCUUAACACAUGCAAGUCGAACGGAAAGGCCCUGCUUUUGUGGGGUGCUCGAGUGGCGAACGGGUGAGUAACACGUGAGUAACCUGCCCUUGACUUUGGGAUAACUUCAGGAAACUGGGGCUAAUACCGGAUAGGAGCUCCUGCUGCAUGGUGGGGGUUGGAAAGUUUCGGCGGUUGGGGAUGGACUCGCGGCUUAUCAGCUUGUUGGUGGGGUAGUGGCUUACCAAGGCUUUGACGGGUAGCCGGCCUGAGAGGGUGACCGGCCACAUUGGGACUGAGAUACGGCCCAGACUCCUACGGGAGGCAGCAGUGGGGAAUAUUGCACAAUGGGCGGAAGCCUGAUGCAGCAACGCCGCGUGCGGGAUGACGGCCUUCGGGUUGUAAACCGCUUUCGCCUGUGACGAAGCGUGAGUGACGGUAAUGGGUAAAGAAGCACCGGCUAACUACGUGCCAGCAGCCGCGGUGAUACGUAGGGUGCGAGCGUUGUCCGGAUUUAUUGGGCGUAAAGGGCUCGUAGGUGGUUGAUCGCGUCGGAAGUGUAAUCUUGGGGCUUAACCCUGAGCGUGCUUUCGAUACAGGUUGACUUGAGGAAGGUAGGGGAGAAUGGAAUUCCUGGUGGAGCGGUGGAAUGCGCAGAUAUCAGGAGGAACACCAGUGGCGAAGGCGGUUCUCUGGGCCUUUCCUGACGCUGAGGAGCGAAAGCGUGGGGAGCGAACAGGCUUAGAUACCCUGGUAGUCCACGCUGUAAACGGUGGGUACUAGGUGUGGGGUCCAUUCCACGGGUUCCGUGCCGUAGCUAACGCUUUAAGUACCCCGCCUGGGGAGUACGGCCGCAAGGCUAAAACUCAAAGGAAUUGACGGGGCCCCGCACAAGCGGCGGAGCAUGCGGAUUAAUUCGAUGCAACGCGUAGAACCUUACCUGGGUUUGACAUGGAUCGGGAGUGCUCAGAGAUGGGUGUGCCUCUUUUGGGGUCGGUUCACAGGUGGUGCAUGGCUGUCGUCAGCUCGUGUCGUGAGAUGUUGGGUUAAGUCCCGCAACGAGCGCAACCCUUGUUCACUGUUGCCAGCACGUUAUGGUGGGGACUCAGUGGAGACCGCCGGGGUCAACUCGGAGGAAGGUGGGGAUGACGUCAAGUCAUCAUGCCCCUUAUGUCCAGGGCUUCACGCAUGCUACAAUGGCUGGUACAGAGAGUGGCGAGCCUGUGAGGGUGAGCGAAUCUCGGAAAGUCGGUCUCAGUUCGGAUUGGGGUCUGCAACUCGACCUCAUGAAGUCGGAGUCGCUAGUAAUCGCAGAUCAGCAACGCUGCGGUGAAUACGUUCCCGGGGCU